CGCACAUUGCACCUCUUGGUAAUCCUUGAGGUAUACUUGUUCGAGCGCCGUUUAAAUUCUAAGGCUUUGCCUUGUGUUGAUGUUUAUCGCGAUUAGCGAUUCAUCCAAAAGAAUUGGCGUCUAGUUCUUUAGCCAGAAACGCAGUGAAAAUGCGAAGAUGGCUAAAAAUGAACAGCCUGUUUCUAUCCGGCAGCUUUGUUGCCAGAAAAUGCAAACAUGGCCUCGGAUCAAGUAGGGAUACCCGCUGAACUUAA
rnacentral:misc_RNA from 1 species